UCUUCUGUAGUGUAGUUGGUAGCGCAUUGGCUUAGUAAUUAAAAGUCCUAGGUUCAAGUCCCGGUGGGGGUAA